rnacentral:rRNA from 1 species
GGCUUGGUAAUUGGAAUGAGGGAGAGUUAAACGGACCAUCGAGUAUCCAUUGGAGGGCAAGUCUGGUGCCAGCAGCUGCGGUAAUACCGGCUCCAAUAGCGUAUAUUAAAGUUGUUGCAGUUAAAAAGCUCGUAGUUGGACUUGUGUGCGCUGUCCGCGGGUGGCCUGCGCCCAAAAGGGCGUUUCGGUUCGGCCCCGGUGGCGCCUUGAAAUCUGCAGCUGGGGGGACGUUGGCCUUAACUGGUCGGCGACCGCACGCCGGCUGCUCGGUUACUGUGAGAAAAUUAAAGUGUUCAAGGCAGGCAUUGGGUGCAAUUGAAUACAUUAGCAUGGAAUAAUAAAAUAUGGCUCCUGCCGUAUUUUGUUGGUUUUGACUGGUGGGAGUAAUGAUUGAUAGGGACGGUUGGGGGUGCUAGUAUUGAGCGGCCUGAGGUGAAAUUCAUGGAUUCGCUCAAGACUAACUUAUGCGAAAGCAUUCACCAAGGACGUCCUCUUUAAUCAAGAACGAAAGUUGGGGGAUCGAAGACGAUCAGAUACCGUCGUAGUCUCAACCAUAAACUAUGUCGACUUGGGAUCGGCGGUAGUUUUUUCAUUAAGACACUGUCGGGACCACGGGAGAAAUCAAAGUGUCUGGACUCUGGGGGAAGUAUGGUCGCAAGGCUGAAACUUGAAGGAAUUGACGGAAGGGCACCACCAGGAGUGGAGCCUGCGGCUUAAUUUGACACAACACGGGGAAACUUACCAGGUCCAGAGAUGUAGAGGAUUGACAGAUUGAAGCUCUUUCUUGAUCACUUCGGUGGUGGUGCAUGGCCGUUCUUAGUUGGUGGAGUGAUUUGUCUGGUUAAUUCCGUUAACGAACGAGACCUCAGCCUGCUAGUGUAGUCGGCUGGAUUGCCUUUGGCGAUCCGUGAUUUCGACUUCUUAGAGGGACAAUCGACGCGCAGUCGAUGGAAGUUUGAGGCAAUAACAGGUCUGUGAUGCCCUUAGAUGUUCUGGGCCGCACGCGCGCUACACUGCUGGGCUCAGCGAGUUUUACUUGGCCGAGAGGCCCGGUUAAUCUUGUGAAAUCCCAGCGUGCUUGGGCUCGCCUCCUGCAACUGGAGGCGCCAACGAGGAAUUCCUAGUGGACGCAGGUCAUCAACCUGCAUCGAUUACGUCCCUGCCCUUUGUACACACCGCCCGUCGUUCCAUAAGAGUGAGGCAUCCGGUGAAUUCUCGGGAGAGCCUGGGCGUGGCCAGCAAUG